rnacentral:rRNA from 1 species
AUUGAACGCUGGCGGCAUGCCUAACACAUGCAAGUCGAACGGUAACAGGACGCUGGGAUCCCUUCGGGGUGAACUUGUCGCUGACGAGUGGCGGACGGGUGAGUAAUGCUUGGGAAUCUGCCCAGUAGUGGGGGACAACACGAGGAAACUCGUGCUAAUACCGCAUACGUCCUACGGGAGAAAGUGGGGGAUCUUCGGACCUCACGCUACUGGAUAAGCCCAAGUCGGAUUAGCUUGUUGGUGGGGUAAAGGCCUACCAAGGCGACGAUCCGUAGCUGGUCUGAGAGGACGAUCAGCCACACUGGGACUGAGACACGGCCCAG